rnacentral:lncRNA from 1 species
CGCCUCGGUAGUUAGGGAGGGGCGGGCUGCAUCCCUGAUGGUAGGACCCCCUGGUCUGUUAAGGACGCCAAACGAAGUGCCGCCAAGGCAUUGCCAAAGGGCACCGUCGGUGAGAUACACCGUGUCUUCCGAGCUGCUCAAGUGGGAAAAGAAAAAAUGCCUUAGAUUGCUGGCCAUCUUGCCCUCCCUGGAGGAGAGCCUGGCUGAGGAGCUGGCCAGGUUCCGGAGGAGAGCUGCUGACUCUCCAUACGCCGCGGCGUCUUCUCUCGUGGCCCAGAAACACUCGCUGGGAGGCCGCUGGCUGGAGUUCUGGAGGCUUCUGAAACAGACCCGGCCUCCCCCACGUCUUGCUGAAAGAUGCUUGAGUGCCUGCCCACUAUGUGCCAGCAGCAGUGCCGCCAGCAGGAGGAAUGCCAUGCUUUCAGAAUGGUCACUUUUCAUUUUGGUGCAAAUACCACCUUCUACUACUGGCAGUGCAAGGAAACAGAAAGUAGAUCUUUGAAACAUGUAAGCCACGAAAUUCAUGUUGAAACCAGUUUCUCUACCCUCUGCCGUCUUUUAGUGCAAAGGAUUAGUAAAUCUUGGGUGGAAUCAUAACCUGGAGAGAGAGGAGAGAGAGAGAGAGAGGGAGAGAGAGGUUGAGAGAGAGGAGGAGGAGGAGGAAGGGCGAGAAACUUGGAAUGGGAGGUAGAUAAAGGCACAAAAUCUGAAAAGUUGGUAGGACUUUCCAGAGAGUGGCAUUCAUGCCUUAUCUUUGUUUUUAGGUUCCACUUUGAUGAACUGUUUUCUCUGUCCUGUUGCAGAACACCUAGAGCCAUCACUUACAUUUCACAAUUUACGGAGCUGGUUUCAUGAAUUAUGUUUCAUGCUUGUGUUGCGUGGGAUGAUGUUGGCAGCAUGCAUCGGAGGACCAGGGGUUCCUGUCCCCACCCCUCAUUCUUACUGUGUUGCUUUUGUU